UUGCCGAUUUUUUUCUGUUUGCUGCCCGGAGAAACUCAACCAUCAUGUUCCAAGGAACGGUAUAUACACAGAACCCCCAAGUUAUGAUUCUGCUGCAGUGUACGUACACGCGUGGUGGUAAUUCGUCCGUCCGUAACGCCCUCAUCGGUGGACAGGCAGUUAUCGAAACAACAGGUGCCCGGAAUCGGUGCCCAAGAACAAACAUAAAUAUAUGCACCAAAGGACCAUCGGAGUCCCUGCGAGUCGAUUACAAGCGUUGAAAAACAGUAGCUCCGUCGUCACAAUCCAAACCAGCUGCAAUUGUUGAAGAAAACUCUAUUUGUUUCUAUUUGUUAAAUAGACUUUUCGCACACUCAACGGCAAGUUGCCAAACUAGCGGUCAAUUCGGUUGCCAUAAAUGGGUCCAACAUACCACCACAGGCGACCGGUGAAGAAGGCACGGAACAAGGCGGCGACAUCGAAGUUAACCGCUCCAGUGUGAUGAGUGAACAUGUCGGUUGGAAUAUGCUACUGCCACUCUAGGCCGUUACUAAAUAUAAUUGAAUAAAUUGUGGUACGAACUUAA